GACGAACGCUGGCGGCGUGCCUAAUACAUGCAAGUCGAACGAUUCUUCCCUGCCGUUGGCUUGCACUCGAUUGGAGAGCGGGGGGGCGUAACGGGUGGAAACCCGUCCUUAACCUACGCAACAGAGUGGGAAAACAGGUGGAAACAGGGGAUAAUAUCGUGUAACACUUUAUGCCGUAGAGAAUAACAGUGUAGGGGGCUGUCGGAGGUGGUUGAUGGCUGGAUGCGCGGGGCAUUAGCUAGUUGGUGAGGUAACGGCUCACCAAGGACACGAUGCGUAGCCGACCUGAGAGGGUGAUCGGCCACACUGGAACUGAGACACGGUCCAGACUCCUACGGGAGGCAGCAGUAGGGAAUCUUCGGCAAUGGGCGAAAGCCUGACGGAGCAACGCCGCGUGAGUGAAGAAGGUCUUCGGAUCGUAAAACUCUGUUGUUAGGGAAGAACAAGGAUGUAAGUAACUGAACGCGUCCUGACGGUAACUAAUCAGAAAGCCACGGCUAACUACGUG
rnacentral:rRNA from 1 species